GAUGAACGCUGGCGGCGUGCCUAAUACAUGCAAGUCGAGCGAACAGACGAGGAGCUUGCUCCUCUGACGUUAGCGGCGGACGGGUGAGUAACACGUGGAUAACCUACCUAUAAGACUGGGAUAACUUCGGUAAACCGGAGCUAAUACCGGAUAACAUGUUGAACCGCAUGGUUCAACAGUGAAAGACGGUCUUGCUGUCACUUAUAGAUUGAUCCGCGCCGCAUUAGCUAGUUGGUAAGGUAACGGCUUACCAAGGCAACGAUGCGUAGCCGACCUGAGAGGGUGAUCGGCCACACUGGAACUGAGACACGGUCCAGACUCCUACGGGAGGCAGCAGUAGGGAAUCUUCCGCAAUGGGCGAAAGCCUGACGGAGCAACGCCGCGUGAGUGAAGAAGGUCUUCGGAUCGUAAAACUCUGUUAUUAGGGAAGAACAAAUGUGUAAGUAACUAUGCACGUCUUGACGGUACCUAAUCAGAAAGCCACGGCUAACUACGUG
rnacentral:rRNA from 1 species